AACGAACGCUGGCGGCGUGCCUAACACAUGCAAGUCGUGCGAGAAAGUUCCUUCGGGAGCGAGUAAAGCGGCGCACGGGUGAGUAACACGUAGGUAACCUGCCCCCCAGUCUGGAACAACUAGAGGAAACUCUAGCUAAUGCCGGAUGAGACCACGAUCCCUUCGGGGGUUGCGGCCAAAGAUGGCCUCUACUUGUAGGCUAUCGCUGAGGGAUGGGCCUGCGGGCCAUUAGCUUGUUGGUGAGGUAACGGCUCACCAAGGCUGUGAUGGCUAGCUGGUCUGAGAGGAUGACCAGCCACACUGGGACUGAGACACGGCCCAGACUCCUACGGGAGCAGCAGUGGGAAUAUUGCGCAAUGGGCGAAGCCUGACGCAGCGACGCCGC
rnacentral:rRNA from 1 species